rnacentral:rRNA from 1 species
AUGCUUCAACCGUGUGUCAUGGCUACAACAACAUGCAUUCGUAGUCGGUGUUCAAGGGUGUCUAGCGUCACAGCCCUGCAGCGAAACCCGGGGUUCGACGGUAGCACGCCUAGAGUGGCAUUGUUUGCGGAUUUCAUGGAUUCGACUCCACAGUGGGAUGCUGACGAGGUGUCAACCGCUGGAGUUGUAGGCGGAGGAGCAGCAGUGGAUUCGAGGGUUUUGUACAAUGAGGACCUCAUUAUGCAGUUCUUUGCCAUUGUCUUCUUCUCCAAUCACACUGCUCGCACACUCACCUGGAUGUUUGGGACUCGCCAGUGUUCUGCCUCUAUUGCCAAGUUCUUCAAGGUCAUUCCAUAUUAG